AUUCAAAUAGCUUAUUUAGAGCAUAAUAUUGAAGAUAUUAAGGAAAUAAUUAUUAUUUUUGAAUA
rnacentral:tRNA from 1 species